rnacentral:rRNA from 1 species
UACGUAGGGUGCAAGCGUUAAUCGGAAUUACUGGGCGUAAAGCGUGCGCAGGCGGCUUUGCAAGACAGAUGUGAAAUCCCCGGGCUUAACCUGGGAAUUGCGAUGGAGACUGCAAGGCUAGAAUCUGGCAGAGGGGGGUAGAAUUCCACGUGUAGCAGUGAAAUGCGUAGAGAUGUGGAGGAACACCGAUGGCGAAGGCAGCCCCCUGGGUCAAGAUUGACGCUCAUGCACGAAAGCGUGGGGAGCAAACAGG